AGUCGAGGGGUAACAGAGGAGCUUGCUCCUGCUGACGACCGGCGCACGGGUGCGUAACGCGUAUACAAUCUGCCUUGCACUAAGGGAUAGCCCAGAGAAAUUUGGAUUAAUAUCUUAUGGUUUAUAAUUAUGGCAUCAUAUUUAUAAUAAAGGUUACGGUGUAAGAUGAGUAUGCGUCCCAUUAGUUUGUUGGUAAGGUAACGGCUUACCAAGACUACGAUGGGUAGGGGCCCUGAGAGGGGGAUCCCCCACACUGGUACUGAGACACGGACCAGACUCCUACGGGAGGCAGCAGUGAGGAAUAUUGGACAAUGGAGGAGACUCUGAUCCAGCCAUGCCGCGUGCAGGAAGACGGUCCUAUGGAUUGUAAACUGCUUUUAUACAGGAAGAAUAAGGACUACGUGUAGUCUGGUGACGGUACUGUAAGAAUAAGGACCGGCUAACUCCGUGCCAGCAGCCGCGGUAAUACGGAGGGUCCGAGCGUUAUCCGGAAUUAUUGGGUUUAAAGGGUCCGUAGGCGGGCUGUUAAGUCAGGGGUGAAAGUUUGCAGCUCAACUGUAGAAUUGCCUUUGAUACUGACGGUCUUGAAUUAUUGUGAAGUGGUUAGAAUAUGUAGUGUAGCGGUGAAAUGCAUAGAUAUUACAUAGAAUACCGAUUGCGAAGGCAGAUCACUAACAAUUGAUUGACGCUGAUGGACGAAAGCGUGGGUAGCGAACAGGAUUAGAUACCCUGGUAGUCCACGCCGUAAACGAUGGAUACUAGCUGUUUGGAUUUCGAUCUGAGCGGCCAAGCGAAAGUGAUAAGUAUCCCACCUGGGGAGUACGUUCGC
rnacentral:rRNA from 1 species